rnacentral:lncRNA from 1 species
GUAUGAAGCUAUUUGUCGACUUUUGAUAUCAUGCUAUAGUUGUCUAAUAGGAUAAAGUGUAUGCAACAACUUCUGUUAACAAUGUAUCGUUAAAUAUAGGCAUAUUUAGGCGCGAUUUUAAACGAUACAGAAAAAUUAUGCUAUGUUUUAGCGUACUCAUUCGAGUUAUGUUGACGCAGGCGGGGAUUGCAGGAGAGCAAAAAAGUGUGAGUUAAUCGAGGCGCUAAGAAUCUGAGUUAGUCAGAGUUACUGCUUGAGUGCGUUUGUUCAACAAAUUGAAAAUAAUCAAGAAACGUUUUGCGAAAAUUCUGGAGGAAAUGUUCGCAAAAAUAUCCGUGUACAAUAUUUAUUGAGCACGCACUUCAACUAAUGAAAGACGUUUUUAGCUAUAUUACUAAUAUACAUCAAAUAAAUAUAAUUUCGGCGCUGUAAAAUGGAGAUGCGUACUUUGAUCUCCUCUAAUUAAACCUUUGGUCUGUGGCUUUCUAAUUCAGAAUAAUUCAUGUGGAAAGUACACUUUUAUAGUACAUUGCUUGGCUACAAAAGGACAAGCUCAGGGAGUGCCGAAGACAAGCAUAUGCAUUUCAAGUAACAGUAUAAACUGAUAAACAGUUUGACACACAUUGCCUGCAGACUCAUUACGUGCUACGAUUCAACCACAAUUUAUUUACCUAGUAUUUAUCACGUGUCAUUUUGAUGCGUAGUUGAAACUCUGAUCUAGAUCCUGCUGCAUCAUGCAGUAAUAUAUUUUUAUUAUGCUUUCAGGGGUAUAUGUCCAACUCCAAUUGCGAAGAUUUUGACAAGAGAUGUGACAACUUUGACGAUUGUACUGAUUGUGAUGAUGAUUUAUCCUGCAUAAAUGUACCUAAACCAGACGGAGAACAGGAAAAAAGAUGCAAAUUAUUCAACCCAAAUGAGCUUGCACAUUCUGAUCCUUAUGGGCGAUGAACGAAAAUAUGUCCAGCCAAAGAAUUGCCGAAAUGAAUAUUAUAUUAUUUUAAAAUAUGUAAUCUUUUACCAGCAGAAAAUUUAAAAAAAUAUAAGCAAAAGC